rnacentral:rRNA from 1 species
CGAAGGGAGCUAGCGUUGUUCGGAAUUACUGGGCGUAAAGGGCGCGUAGGCGGCUUAGCAAGUUGGAUGUGAAAGCCCAGGGCUCAACCCUGGAAUUGCAUUCAAGACUGCCUUGCUUGAAUUCGGUAGAGGUUGGUGGAAUUCCCAGUGUAGAGGUGAAAUUCGUAGAGAUUGGGAAGAACACCCGUGGCGAAGGCGGCCAACUGGACCGACAUUGACGCUGAGGCGCGAAAGCGUGGGGAUCAAACAGGAUUAGAUACCCUGGUAGUCCACGCUGUAAACGAUGCAUGCUAGACGUUGGAAGGCUUAGCCUUCUUGUGUCGCAGCUAACGCACUAAGCAUGCCGCCUGGGGAGUACGGCCGCAAGGUUG